AUGUCAAUCGAGGGUGGCCAUUUUCCAUUUAGAACACCGCGACAGAUGCUAUUUAGCGUUAGCGCUCAGCUAGCAGGACUGAAAGGCUAAGCCAUGGAGUUGUUUUGUAUCCAUGUGGCACUCUAUUUCUCUUUUUGAAGUGUUUUUUGUCCACUCACCUGGAUUUGUGAGGCGUGGAGGUCCAUGGUGAUGAUGUGGUCAGCGCCCGCCACAGACAGCAUGUUUGCCACCAGCUUGGCCGAUAUUGGUGCUCGGCUCUGGGACGAGCAGAUGUUAUCAUCACAACUCAGGUCAAAGCGUUGGUUUUGUUGCCAAAACACUAAAAGGGGUUGCCGCUGAUGCUGAGCUAGCAGACGACAAAGGCUGACUCGGAACCAGGACUUUAAAACAAUCACGUGACUAUCCAAUUUCACUGAACUGGUUCCAAAUCAUUGUUUGAUUACAUUACAAUUGACAUUGUGCCUUUGUUUAGCCAUCAAUGCAAUCAAUCAAUCAAGUUUGCUAAUAACCGCCGCCCGUCUACCUUGUCCUUCUUGUCCUGCCGAGCGUAAGGGAAGCAGGGGAUGACGGCAGUGACGCGGGAUGACGAGGCGAUUUUGCAGGCGUUGAUCAUAAUCAACAGCUCCAUGAGGUUGUCGUUAAUCUCGCCACAGCCGCUCUGCACAAUGUACACGUCCUCGCCGCGGACACUCUCCCCGAUCUCCACGCUGUUGGUUCCAUGGGAAAGAAAAAACGGGCAGGAAGUUAAGUACAGUGGAACGUUUCGGUCGAACGAUUUAAGAAUUGGAUCCGAAUAUGUGAGGGUGAAAAUAUGCUUCUUGAACAAGUUUGAAGAGAGCAUCUCGGACGGCUUUGCACACCGGCUCGAGUUUUCAAAUGUUUUACAGAUGCAAUUCAUCACAUUGAUAAAUGUAGGGGUGUUCAGAUUAUGAAGGGAAGGGGGUGCUGCAGGCUUUUUGACCACUCGGGGUCCUCAAGUUCGACAUUGUUAGCUCAGGGUAACAAAGGGCUCUUAACUGCUUAGUGUAGCUAGCUACUAAUGUUUCUCCUGCCUCAAAACUCAGGAUUUGGAAAAUGAUUGUGUUUAAAGGGGAAGUCAACCCCCAAAUUGUGAUGUCAUUUUCGGUGGACAGACAGCAAGUGGUAAAAUGGCCGCCCGUGAGCUGGAUCAAAAAGGACGGAAUUUGCCUCAAACUAAACCUUAAUCAGGGAUGCCGAGUUGAGACGAGCGGGGGCACAUCUUGUAAAGAAAACUACCAGAUUGACUUCCUCUUUCACAUGUCCAGUGACGCUUGCAAAACCUGCAGGACGGCUACUCGUCCAACAAGUCCGGGUCAAACACAUGUCGUACUGUGAAGGCAGCAGUGACAGCAAGCGUGUGCGUGAAACAUUCCCGUUUGGGGGACUCGCACCAACGUGGCCUCAGCCAUGUGAUGGUUGACCCUGCCUGGGCCUGGAUUACCUUCCCGCUCACACACUGAAACGGAACCGUUUCCUCAAACGGUUAGCUUUACCCCAUGCGCGAGCAGGAUCUGAUGAAAUGAUGAUCUGCGACUGUCAAACUGCAAGGCGAGUCCAAUCAUGAACAUGGCGAGGAGGUGGAAUGCGCGUCUACAUCCUAGCACUGCUCGCCACUGGCGAACUUUGUGAUCUCCAGGCUGUUGGGGUCCUGAGCUCUCUCCCCCCCGUUGUUUACUUGUCUGUUCAUCGUGUGCCGUGUCUCGUCACCGGGGGAUAGGGGAAACGAAAUUUCCGUUUCUUUACGUCUCGGCAUGAAGGAAUUGACAAUAAAGCUGACUCUGACUCAUGCGACCGCCGCUGUGCAGACCUUGACCGGCAAAGGUCAGCUGGUGAAAGCGCGUGUGGGGAGCUGUGAGAAGAAGUGUAAACCUCUCACCUCUUCUCAGUUUGAGGGGUUGAGAAAAAUCAUUGGUUUUAAAAGUGUUCCCAGGCUGAAAAGUGCAGAAACGCAAGAGAAUCAAUCACGACUUCCCUCCUUUGACACGGCUCUUUCAAAAUCUCAUUAGAUUUUUGGGCUUAGUCAUUACAAAGUACAAUUACUUUGUGUUUAAGACGGCUUUUUCAGGUUCAAAAAAUUCCUGAAAAACAGAGCACGAGUAGUACAUCCAUUGCAGUCCUCAUCACAUCUGCACUUUCUACUUUUGCCACUUCUUUUUCCACAGUUCCCUAGCAAAAAAGAAAUGCUCCUGUCUCUCAACGAUGAAAAUAAGUACAUGUCUGAGGGUGCCAUUACUGAUGCAACUUGGAAAAAGGCCGGACAAAUCAAAAGCAUGUGAUUCGACCAACGGCCUCCGCAUGUCGGGCGUUCACCACAGUACUAAAAGUCAACAUAUCCUAUGUUCUUGUGAACACUUUUUUUUCCUUCUUCUUCUUGCUGAGGUGCCACUGACUAACACUUCAGUCCGUCUUUUGUAAGGAACUGCCAUUAACAUUGAACAUGAAUAACCACGCUGCAGUGUUGUUAACCAACGUAGAAUUCAAGUUGAGAAGAUUGAUUCCAACUUGAUCCUACUCGCUCCUCCCGUUAGAGGCGCGCGAAGGAACAUGUUCCAUCCCGUGUGUUUCAUAUUUCAGACACUCCUUCAGCAAACAUACUUUGUAUUCAUUUUAAACAUACUUUGUAUUAAUAACAUAAAAAACAGCAAUAUCCAAAUGGUCGUAUUAAACACUAUUUCACCACAUUGUCGACGGUCAUUAAGUUUGGCGAAAAAAAAAAACGGCCCAACAUUUGAGCCACCAUAUUGAAACGUGAAGCCGUUAGCUAGCAUGAUUAGCGCACACACACACACGGGCUAACAUGUUACCUUGUAGUUCCCAACCACGGGCGGUUAUUUAACGUGAAUCCUACAAGUGCAAUUCAAAAACAAUGUUUCUGGAGUAAUUCUCAUGAGCGAUCGACAAAGAAAACGCCUUGUCCGAUAAUGGAUGCACUAACAUUAGCGCUCUAGCUUGUUGUGUUUACAUGAGGCUAGCAGGUCACGUGUGGACGGAGUGGACGCCGUAGUCAACUAUUGUUAACUUCAAGCUAACGCUAACAGAAGGAAAAUCCAGGCCGGUCGGCCAGCCUACUCCAUUUCACUCCAAGUUGUCAAACAAAGUGUGAAAAUACUCACCAUGUCUCCUGGUUGCUGAACUUCUUGGUGAUCACUUUACCCAGAUCCAGUCCUAGCCGAUCCGCUACUUUCUGGGACAAGUCGUGGUGAGAGCUCCCGCUGAAGAGGACGAUGUU